AAUUCCUAAAAAAUGGCAUGUAAAUGCAAGAAUGGGUAUGCAAAAAUAAUUAGAGUAUACAUGAUGGUUCUCAUACUCAUAGGAAGGUCUUCAUAAAGUUUUUAAAAAACUUUUGGUGUGUAACAAUUCAGAAAACUAGUAGAUUAAACUAGAGCCUAACACAAGGAUUAGAGUCGUAAGUAAAUCUUGGUACUCAAUAUAAAUUUUUUUGAGAGGACCAACCAUGGUUCCUUGAGAGGACCCUUUCAAAGGGUGAAAAAUGCACUUGGGUACCCACGAGGGGGAACCACGACCAUAAGGUGGACCUAGGACUCGUAAGUCAUGGCCGUUGGUCAAGCCCCCAUAAAACAGGCUGCAGGAACCAACCCUCGGACAUGGAUACCGCGUGAGUCAACUAACGCACCACAGAUCUAAGGUUAUGGGUGGUCACUGAAAUUGCCAUUUGGCAGUUGGCCUUAGGGGUCUUUUGUGGUUAUCUUUUUAAUUAAUUGUUAAGUGGUGUAAUUUUAGCCUAUUUGAAAACAACUAUAUAAGUGUUUUAAACACAUAUACUAAUCCAUCUUGACCAUAAUCUCUAGAUCUAAAAAUAAAAAAACAAACCCUCUCUAAAAUAUUCUAUCUAGAACUCCAUGAAUGAAGACGAAAUGUGAAGCUAGGGUUGAAGGAUCCAUCUUUUCUACUCAAUUUAGUUGGAAUUCUUUAAUAAGGUGCUGGAGUAUGAGGUGCUCUUGCUUUGAUUCAAGUUUGGAUUUGACUGUACUCCUUCGGGAGUCCUCGUAAACUCUAGAAAUGAAUACACGAAAGGAUAAUGCUAGAAGGGUGGAAGAGGAGAAUGUGAAUGAAGGAGUUCAUCAAGGUAAUAAAACUCCUCAAGCCAACAAAAAUCCAACUGUUCAUCGGCUAUGUCAAAUGAUGAGGUUAGGCCGGCUUUUCAAAUGUUGGCCCAAGCUAUGACCACUCAAGUUCAAACUUUUAUUAUUCAAUCCAGACAAUGAAUGCUCGAACUCAUGUGAAUAAUAUAAAUUCUGUAGCUUCUAGAUUGAGAAUUUUCCAAGAAUUAACCCUCGUGUUUUCCUUGGUUCUAAAGUGGGGGAGGAUCCUCAAGAAUUUCUCAAAGUGGUUCAUAAAAUAAUUGAUGCCAUGGGAGUGAAUUCUGUAGAGGAAACGGAGUUAGCCACUUACCAAUUAAAGAGUGUGGUUCAAGUAUGGUAUACUAAAUGGAAGUAUAAUAGGCCGAUGGGAGCAGGUCCAAUAGAGUGGAAAGUGUUCAUAUUGGAGUUCCUUGAUUGAUUCUUUACUCGAGAUUUAGGAAAUGGUUGAAGAAUUUAUUAACCUUUGUUAAGGAGGUGUGAAUGUUAAAGAAAUUCUCUAAAGUUUACCUAAUUGUCCAAGUUUGCUCCGGCUUUGGUGGCAGACUCAGGGUAUAUGAUGAGUAGGUAUUUGACGGGUAUGUCUAGAUUUGUGAAAAAAGAAUGUUGUUCGGCUAUACUUCAAGAUAAUAUGGAUAUCUCACGUCUCAUGGUGUAUGAUCAACAAAUUGAGGAAGAGAAAUCCCAAAACAAGAACAUGGAGGUUAAAUGAGCUAGAAUAGGCGAUGAGAAUUUCUCCAAUUUAAGGUCCUAUGGACAAGGUCGAACAAAGUUUAAACCAAGGUUCUUCAACCAAGGCUCCUCUAGUGCUCCCCCAAGGGUGAACAAUGAUAGGGUGUCUAACCCUAAACCUCAAGGAGGUAAUAGUAGUAGUUCAUAUGUUGCUAGGCUUUUGGAAAAUGUGGUAGAAAACAUGAUGACAAGUGCUUUGUUGUCUUGGAUGGGUGCUAUGGUUGUGAACAGACAGGCCACAAGAUGAGAGAUUGUCCUAUUCUCAAGGUUAAGGGAAUGUAAAAUAAGCAAGCUCCUCCAAAUGGUUCCAACUCCAAUACUCUAAAGCAAAACCUCUUUUAUGCACUUCAAUCCGUAGGUAAGCAAGAAAGAUACCCGGAUGUGGUGAAUAGUUUGCUUAAGUAUUUUCUAUUGAUGUAUAUGCCUUGUUAGACCCUAGUGUAACUUUGUAAUUUUUAAAACCAUUUUUGGCCAUGGUGUUUUAAAUAUUCCCCGAGUGUUAAAAGAACCUUUUUUGGUCUUUACCUCGGUUGGCGACUCGGUAGUAGCAAAAAGAGUCUAUAGAAUUUGUCCCAUUUCUUUGUUGUAUAUAGUAACCUUGGUGGAUUUAGUAAAGUUAGAUAUUUUAGAUUUCAAUGUUUAAUGAUGCUAUAAUAUGCUUAUGCUAUUCAUGUUA